rnacentral:rRNA from 1 species
CCUGACGCAGAGACGCCGCGUGUGGGAUGAAGGUCUUCGGAUCGUAAACCACUGUCAGAGGGGACGGAAGGCCCGGGGUUAACGUGCCGCCGGGAUUGACGGUACCCUCGGAGGAAGCACCGGCUAACUCUGUGCCAGCAGCCGCGGUAAUACAGAGGGUGCGAGCGUUGUCCGGAAUCACUGGGGCGUAAAGGGCGUGUAGGCGGCUGGCUAAGCCGCGUGUGAAAGCCCGGGGCUCAACCCCGGAACGGCACGCGGGACUGGUCGGCUCGAGAAUGGUAGAGGCGAGUGGAAUUCCUGGUGUAGCGGUGGAAUGCGUAGAGAUCAGGAAGAACACCGGUGGCGAAGGCGGCUCGCUGGGCCAUUUCUGACGCUGAGGCGCGAAAGCGUGGGGAGCAAACAGGAUUAGAUACCCUGGUAGUCCACGCCGUAAACGAUGGGCACUAGGCGUCGGGGGGAGCGACCCUCCCGGUGCCGUCGCUAACGCAGUAAGUGCCCCGCCUGGGGAGUACGGCCGCAAGGUUG